rnacentral:rRNA from 1 species
GAAUUUUGGACAAUGGGGGCAACCCUGAUCCAGCCAUCCCGCGUGUGCGAUGAAGGCCUUCGGGUUGUAAAGCACUUUAAGCAGUGAAGAAGACUCCAUGGUUAAUACCCAUGGACGAUGACAUUAGCUGCAGAAUAAGCAACGGCUAACUACGUGCCAGCAGCGGCGGUAAUACGUAGGGUGCAAGCGUUAAUCGGAAUUACGAGGCGUAAAGCGUGCGCAGGCGGUUCGGCAAGAAGGAUGUGAAAUCCCAGGGCUUAACCUUGGAACUGCAUUCUUAACUGCCGGGCUAGAGUAUGUCAGAGGGGGGUAGAAUUCCGCGUGUAGCAGUGAAAUGCGUAGAGAUGCGGAGGAAUACCGAUGGCGAAGGCAGCCCCCUGGGAUAAUACUGACGCUCAUGCACGAAAGCGUGGGGAGCAAAC